rnacentral:rRNA from 1 species
UUCGGAACAACCCAGGGAAACUUGGGCUAAUACCGGAUAAGCCCUUACGGGGAAAGAUUUAUCGCCGAAAGAUUGGCCCGCGUCUGAUUAGCUAGUUGGUGAGGUAAUGGCUCACCAAGGCGACGAUCAGUAGCUGGUCUGAGAGGAUGAUCAGCCACAUUGGGACUGAGACACGGCCCAAACUCCUACGGGAGGCAGCAGUGGGGAAUAUUGGACAAUGGGCGCAAGCCUGAUCCAGCCAUGCCGCGUGAGUGAUGAAGGCCCUAGGGUUGUAAAGCUCUUUUGUGCGGGAAGAUAAUGACGGUACCGCAAGAAUAAGCCCCGGCUAACUUCGUGCCAGCAGCCGCGGUAAUACGAAGGGGGCUAGCGUUGCUCGGAAUCACUGGGCGUAAAGGGUGCGUAGGCGGGUCUUUAAGUCAGGGGUGAAAUCCUGGAGCUCAACUCCAGAACUGCCUUUGAUACUGAAGAUCUUGAGUUCGGGAGAGGUGAGUGGAACUGCGAGUGUAGAGGUGAAAUUCGUAGAUAUUCGCAAGAACACCAGUGGCGAAGGCGGCUCACUGGCCCGAUACUGACGCU